rnacentral:tRNA from 1 species
GGCCUCGUAGCUCAGUUGGCUAGAGCGUGGCUGUACUAAAGUCUUCCCCUUGCACGUGUGGGUUCGAAUCCCACCGAGGCCG